rnacentral:rRNA from 1 species
ACAGAGGUCCCAAGCGUUACUGAGAAUUACUGGGUUUAAAGGGUGCGUAGGUGGCCCGUUAAGUCUGUUGUGAAAUCCCCGGGCUCAACCCGGGAAUUGCUUCGGAUACUGGCGUGCUUGAGGCCGGUAGAGGUCACUGGAACUGACGGUGGAGCGGUGAAAUGCGUAGAUAUCGUCAGGAACGCCUGUGGUGAAGACGGGUGACUGGGCCGGUUCUGACACUGAGGCACGAAAGCGUGGGGAGCAAACGGGAUUAGAUACCCCGGUAGUCCACGCCCUAAACGAUGCAGACUAGAUUGCAGCGGGUCUUACCCCGUUGCGGUCGGAGCGAAAUUGUUAAGUCUGCCACCUGGGAAGUACGGUCGCAAGGCUA